rnacentral:tRNA from 13 species
GGGCAGAUGGCCGAGUGGUUAAAGGCGACAGACUGUAAAUCUGUUCACUCACGUGUACGUAGGUUCGAACCCUACUCUGCCCACAA